AUAAAUAAAUAAAUGCAGUAAAUAAAAAAAUCACAAUUUAUUUAUUAUAAACUAUUAUUUUACCAUAGUAAAAGAUACUAUAUGACACACAACCCAACACGUUGAUCUGAGAAUUUUGUACAAUGCUUAAGAAAGGAAAAAUACAGAAAUUAAAAUUUAACUUGAUCAACUUCCAAAUGGACUCAUCAAACUACACAACUAAAUUAAAACAUCUGACAUGUAUUCACCUAGACUUUCAGAUUCAAAUAUCUUAUUUAAGUGCUAAUAGAGUCCAAGAGGNNNN
rnacentral:lncRNA from 1 species